rnacentral:rRNA from 1 species
AUUGAACGCUGGCGGCAGGCCUAACACAUGCAAGUCGAGCGGAUGAAGGGAGCUUGCUCCUGGAUUCAGCGGCGGACGGGUGAGUAAUGCCUAGGAAUCUGCCUGGUAGUGGGGGAUAACGUCCGGAAACGGGCGCUAAUACCGCCUACGUCCUGAGGGAGCAAGUGGGGGAUCUUCGGACCUCACGCUAUCAGAUGAGUCUAGGUCGGAUUAGCUAGUUGGUGGGGUAAAGGCCUACCAAGGCGACGAUCCGUAACUGGUCUGAGAGGAUGAUCGGUCACACUGGAGCUGAGACACGGUCCAGACUCCUACGGGAGGCAGCAGUGGGGAAUAUUGGACAAUGGUCGAAAGCCUGAUCCAGCCAUGCCGCGUGUGUGAAAAAGGUCUUCGGAUUGUAAAGCACUUUAAGUUGGUAGGAAGGGCAGUAAGUUAAUACCUUGCUGUUUUGACGUUACCAACAGAAUAAGCACCGGCUAACUUCGUG